GAUGAAGAACGUAGUGAAAUGCGAUAAUUAAUGUGAAUUGCAGAAUUCUGUGAAUCAUCGAGUCUUUGAACGCACAUUGCGCCUCAUGGCAUUCCGUGAGGCAUGCCCAUCUCAGCGUUAGAAAAUAUUCUCAAAUUUUAGUUUUGUGCUAAAAUUUGGAUCAUGUCAAAGAAGCUAUUACUAUUAUUGUGAUCGCUCUUUGGAAAUUGAUAGGUCUUUGAGUUGUUACUCAUAGAACGUGAUGAAUCUUUCUUCGUUCUAUUGUAAUUCACUCUGGUAGUCCUAAAACUUGUAUGCCUGUGGCAUAUCUUGUAAUUUGACCUGAGAUUGGGUAGGGAUACCCGCUGAACUUAAGCAUAUCAAUAAGCGGAGGA
rnacentral:misc_RNA from 1 species